rnacentral:rRNA from 1 species
UAACGAAUAUUGGACAAUGGGCGAAAGCCUGAUCCAGCGACGCCGCGUGCAGGAAGAAGUCCCUCGGGAUGUAAACUGCUGUCAGGGACUACCAAGCAAUGAGGGUUAAUACCCCUCUGCGUUGAGGCGUCCCAGAGGAAGCCACGGCUAACUUCGUGCCAGCAGCCGCGGUAAUACGACGGUGGCGAGCGUUGUUCGGAAUCACUGGGCUUAAAGAGCAUGUAGGCGGAUUGUCAAGCGUCUUGUGAAAGCCCGCGGCUCAACCGAGGAAUUGCAGGGCGAACUGAUAGUCUUGAGGCAGGUAGGGGCAGAUGGAACUCUUGGUGGAGCGGUGGAAUGCGUAGAUAUCAAGAGGAACGCCAGAGGCGAAGGCGAUCUGCUGGGCCUGUCCUGACGCUGAGAUGCGAAAGCCAGGGGAGCGAACG